UACGUAGGGUCCGAGCGUUGUCCGGAUUUAUUGGGCGUAAAGAGCUCGUAGGCGGUUCCGUAAGUCAGAUGUGAAAACUCAGGGCUCAACCCGGAGACGCCAUCUGAUACUGCGGUGACUGGAGUCUGGUAGGGGAACACGGAAUUCCUGGUGUAGCGGUGAAAUGCGCAGAUAUCAGGAGGAACACCGAUGGCGAAGGCAGUUCUCUGGGCCGUAACUGACGCUGAGGAGCGAAAGCGUGGGGAGCGAACAGG
rnacentral:rRNA from 1 species